UACGUAGGGGGCGAGCGUUGUCCGGAGUUACUGGGCGUAAAGCGCACGCAGGCGGUCUGUUAAGUUUGGAGUGACAGUUGGUGGCUUAACUGCCAAAGUGCUUCGAAAACUGACAGACUUGAGGGCUUCAGAGGGACACGGAAUUCCGGGUGGAGUGGUGAAAUGCGUAGAGAUCCGGAGGAACACCUGUGGCGAAAGCGGCUCACUGGACCAUAACUGACGCUGAUGCACGAAAGCUAGGGGAGCAAACAGG
rnacentral:rRNA from 1 species